GUUUCUUUUGUACAUUACGCACAACAUGACAUUCCAUUACAUUCAAGAGUGUGUGAAAAUACUCGAGCGCCAGGCCUGUCAAGGCCAUGCAAAGCGGCACUCAGAGUCAUAGAUGCACAGGUGUGUGGAUUUGCGACUCGCCAAACGUGCACAUGUGUCUCCACCAGCACAGAACGGACGGAGCCGACUUUGAAAGAUUCACUAAUGAUCCUUCCGCAGGUUCACCUACGGAAA
rnacentral:misc_RNA from 1 species